UAUGGCUGGUGUCUUGGGGGACAUGGGGGACGUGCUGCCCCAUAGCUGAUGCCCUGAGGGCCGUGCCACCCCACGGAUGAGCUUCUGGGGGACAGAGGGGACAUGCCACCCCAUGGCUGGUGCCCUGAGGGACAUGUCACCCCACGGAUGGCCUUCUGGGGGACAGAGGGGACGUGCCACCCCAUGGCUGGUGCCCUGAGGGACAUGUCACCCCAUGGAUGGCCUUCUGGGGGACAUGCCACCCCAUGGCCAGGGACAAUGGGGACCUGCCACCCCAUAGCUGGGGUUAUGGGGGACAUGCCACCCCAUGGAUGAGCUUCUGGGGCACACAGGGGACAUGCCACCCCAUGGCUGGUGCUCUGAGGGCCAUCCCACCCCAUGGAUGGUCUUCUGGGGGGCGUGCCACCCCAUGGCCAGGGACACUGGGGACCUGCCACCCCAUAGCUGGGGUUCUGGUGUCCUGGGGGGACAUGGCACCCCACAGCUGGUGUCCUGGGGACAUCCCACCCCAUGGAUGGCCUUCUGGGGGACAUCCCACCCCAUGGCCAGGGACACUGGUGACGUGCCACCCCAUAG
rnacentral:lncRNA from 1 species